rnacentral:sRNA from 1 species
UCAAACUGUCAAAAUAAUGGUCCUUUAG